GCCGGGCUGUCGGUGGGCGCGUAUUCAGCUGGAGCUCCGGGAGCGCACUGCAGCAGAGCUGCCAGCAUCACUGCAGAGAGCAGCCGCUCCCUUCACUGAGGCAGAGAAGGAAGAUUCCUUUCGGUGUUUCUUCCAUCUUCCUCCUCCCUGUGAGGUUUUAUACACUGUCAUUUCAGUGCGGAAUCUUUGUGACCCUCCUUCGCUCCAUUCACCUGCAGUUCACCACACCCAGUGAAGGUUGAGCUCAUCAGAAGUCCACUCCUCAUCACAUCCAGGUCUUCAGCGUCCUUCCACCACCACCACCAGUGUCUGGACUCCAUCAGGGGGGAUAUCAUAUACCCCCUUUUAAAAUAUGAAGAUGUCACGAUGGAGUCUCAUCGCCAAAGACUCUUCAUAUUUCUCAUCUUUAUUUGCACAU